rnacentral:rRNA from 1 species
AGAACGAACGCUGGCGGCAUGCCUAAUACAUGCAAGUCGAACGAACACUUCGGUGUUAGUGGCGCACGGGUGCGUAACGCGUGGGAAUCUGCCCUUGGGUUCGGAAUAACAGUUGGAAACGACUGCUAAUACCGGAUGAUAUCGAAAGAUACAAAGAUUUAUCGCCCAGGGAUGAGCCCGCGUAGGAUUAGCUAGUUGGUGAGGUAAAGGCUCACCAAGGCGACGAUCCUUAGCUGGUCUGAGAGGAUGAUCAGCCACACUGGGACUGAGACACGGCCCAGACUCCGUACGGGAGGCAGCAGUAGGGAAUAGUUAGGACAAGUGGGCGACAAGCCUGACUCCAGACCAAUCGCCGCGUAGGAGUGAUAGGAAGGUCCGUUUAAGGGUUAGUAAAGCCUUUACCGUUUACCGAGAUGAAUAA